rnacentral:rRNA from 1 species
GAUGAACGCUAGCUACAGGCUUAACACAUGCAAGUCGAGGGGCAGCACAGUGUAGCAAUACAUGGGUGGCGACCGGCGCACGGGUGCGUAACGCGUAUCCAACCUUCCCGAUACUCAGGGAUAGCCUUCCGAAAGGGAGAUUAAUACCUGAUGGUGUUCAAAUUCCGCAUGUUAUUUGAACUAAAGAUUUAUCGGUAUCGGAUGGGGAUGCGUGACAUUAGAUAGUAGGCGGGGUAACGGCCCACCUAGUCUACGAUGUCUAGGGGUUCUGGGAGGAAGGUCCCCCACACGGGAACUGAGACACGGUCCAGACUCCUACGGAGGCAGCAGUGAGGAAUAUUGGUCAAUGGUCGGAAGACUGAACCAGCCAAGUAGCGUGAAGGAUGAAGGUUCUAUGGAUUGUAAACUUCUUUUAUACGGGAAUAAAACCUCCCACGUGUGGGGGCUUGUAUGUACCGUAUGAAUAAGCAUCGGCUAACUCCGUGCCAGCCGCCGCAGUAACAC